AGAAUCCCAUGAAGUAGCACAACCUAAACUGAAGACAACUCGAGUUUGUCAUUAAAAUACACAUUUCGCUUUGAGUAGGAGUCAGCCACUUACGGUAUUCUUUCCUUCCCAGAGGUGACAGUCUUCAGGAAAGUCUGGAAAGAUAGUGUCGAAAUUCAUCGACGUGACUUUCAGCGGAACCUUUAUUUGGCCACACACCGUCAUUGAGUUUGGCGGGCUCUCAUAUAACACGUUUGGAUCCACAACAAUGGCGCUCGGCUCCUUUCCGGUACUGUAAGCUUCAGCUUCUUGCCUCUCUUCCUGAGGAUAUUUUGGAAUACGAAAAAAGUUCAGUGUAAAGGUCUGGGAGGAUAUGACAGAAUCGAGAAUAUGGUAGAAGAUUUACUGAACUUCCUUGAAAGCUCAGAAGUUCGUGGGCUUCUGUUGGAACAUCGUGGGGGAUUUCUGAAGGAAUAAAAUGUCUAUAGAAUCAAGCAAGGCGAGGGUUCAACAAGAUUGUCUUUGAACAAUUACGUGACGAACCUGAGAUACCGGACGUCCAUCCAGUUGUUCAAGGUGAUCCAGCCUGCUUAUAACGGAAAUUCGGUAAUAGUUCUGCCUACUCAUCUGUAAGAAUCCAAUGUUAAGAUGCUUGUCAGGUGAGUCUUCUCAAUAGCUAUGAGUUGAACUGUUGUAAAUCGAUAGCACAGUGUAGGACUGUAAAAGCAUCUUAGCUGUAAAGAAUUAUUUACAUUAUUUCUGCUCUCAAUUAAGCAACUAAAUUCACAUACGUGAUGUCUUUACCGGGUUGUUGUUCAACCAGAGCUUAGUAAGCUUGGGUAAUGGUGACAAGUAAUCAAUGCUGGCGAAACCUCCGAGUCGAUUGGGAGUGAGAAGGUUUGAUGUUAAGUCCAAACUCUCAAGGGCAUUUAGUCCCCCAAGGUGCACCAGGGUCUUCAGGGAGUUGUCGCCCAGGUGCAAAAUUCGUAAAUUCUGCAGGUUUGCGAAUGAUCCUGGAUCCAACUCUUUUAUGCUAUUGUGAUUUAAGUACAGAUACUCCAGAUGUCUUAAAUUUUCCAAUCCAUCAACCUGCAUAAUAAAAAAUAAAAAAAAUACCAUGUUGCUAAAAUGAACAGAAUAAAAUGCAAUUAGUCAGCAGUAUUCAUGAUCCACCGCCAACUUCUGAACUGGGGUGUUUGUUUACCGAGGAUGCUUCCGUUUAAUCCAUAAAGCGGCAUAUAUGAUUUAUUUGUUUCAGAAAUGCAGUUUGUCAGAUUUUGGUUAACGACAUCAUAUUAAAUCAAAAGUGUACUGUUUUCUGCGUAUAUGAGGAAGGUAUGUUAAUUUAAGAAAUCACUGUAAAAAUGCUCAUUAGUAAUCUUUAGAAUUUAAGUUCAUACCUUAGUAAUUUUAUUGUCUUGAAGAGAGAGAUGCUUGAGCGUUGAAAAUUUAGACAGCCGUAAUGACAUAAUAUUGCUUAUGCUAUUACCACUUAACUCCAAAACCUGCAAUAUCGUCAACAAUCCAUUGCUGACAGUUUAUAACGAGAGCACGGAAUAUCCUGACGAUCUCUUAAGAAUUGUGUUGUACACACGGAACACGAGAUUGUUGAUCACACAUCAUGUCAAUAAAAGUUCUACACCUUUGCAUCC